rnacentral:rRNA from 1 species
AUUGAACGCUGGCGGCAGGCCUAACACAUGCAAGUCGAGCGGAUGAAGGGAGCUUGCUCCUGGAUUCAGCGGCGGACGGGUGAGUAAUGCCUAGGAAUCUCCCUGGUAGUGGGGGAUAACGUCCGGAAACGGGCGCUAAUACCGCAUACGUCCUGAGGGAGAAAGUGGGGGAUCUUCGGACCUUACGCUAUCAUAUGAGUCUAGGUCGGCUUAGCUAGUUGGUUGGGUAAAGGCCUACCAAGCCGACUAUCCGUAACUGGUCUGAGAGGAUGAUUAGUCACACUGGAACUUAGCCACGGUCAAGACUACUACGGGAGGCAGCAGUGGGGAAUAGUGGACAGUGGGCGAAAGCCUGAUACAGCCAUGGCGCGUGUGUGAAGAAGGUCUUCGGAUUGUAAAGCACGUUAAGUUGGGAGGAAGGGCAGUAAGUUAAUACCUUGCUGUUUUGACGGUAACAACAGAAUAAGCACCGGCUAACUUCGUG